rnacentral:rRNA from 1 species
UACGAGGGGGGCAAGCGUUGUUCGGAAUUAUUGGGCGUAAAGGGCGCGUAGGCGGUGCGGUAAGUCACCUGUGAAAACUCUGGGCUCAACUCAGAGCCUGCAGGCGAAACUGCCGUGCUUGAGUGUGGGAGAGGUGCGUGGAAUUCCCGGUGUAGCGGUGAAAUGCGUAGAUAUUCGGAAGAACACCGGUGGCGAAGGCGACCUUCUGGGCCGCCACUGACGCUGAGGCACGAAAGCGUGGGGAGCAAACGGG